rnacentral:rRNA from 1 species
UUGAAAGGGAAACGAUUGAAGUCAGUCGUACCGACGGAGAAUCAACCUUUGGAGUGCGAGUCGAGGUAUUCGAGGAGUUUAAAAGCCCUUGUGUGCUUCCGUAUCGUGCUUCUUGGGUGCUUUUCUUCGUAUGGUAGGUUAACAUCAAUUUUGGACGUUACAAAAUGACUGGGGGAAUGUAGCUUCGAUUUUUCGAAGUGUUAUAGCCCUUUGUAGAUGUGACGACCGGGAUUGAGGAUUGCAACGAAUGCUUUCGGGCUAUCCGUCUGACCUCUGGUGGUUGCUUUAGGGUCGAAAGCGUGCUUACGACUCUAAAGUUGGCUAUCAAAAGGCUAGAACGUGAUUAAAUUCGUUAAGGAUGUUGACGUA